rnacentral:snRNA from 1 species
AUUGCUUCUUAGGCUUUUGGCCAAGAUCAGGUGUAGCAUUUGUUCUUAUCAGUUUGCUCUCUGAUGUAUUCUCUCUCCUAGAAUAAUAUAUAAGUUUUUGGAGUAAGUAGGUUGAAUAGGAACAUGCUAUACAUUCAUUACAUGUAUAGACCUGGUAUUGCAAGAAUAGUACACUGUGU